rnacentral:rRNA from 1 species
CAGCCGCCGCGGUAAUACGGAGGGAGCUAGCGUUGUUCGGAAUUACUGGGCGUAAAGCGCGCGUAGGCGGUUACUCAAGUCAGAGGUGAAAGCCCGGGGCUCAACCCCGGAACUGCCUUUGAAACUAGGUGACUAGAAUCUUGGAGAGGUCAGUGGAAUUCCGAGUGUAGAGGUGAAAUUCGUAGAUAUUCGGAAGAACACCAGUGGCGAAGGCGACUGACUGGACAAGUAUUGACGCUGAGGUGCGAAAGCGUGGGGAGCAAACAGGAUUAGAUACCCCGGUAGUCCCUGUCUCUUAUAA